rnacentral:rRNA from 1 species
UACGAAGGGGGCAAGCGUUGUUCGGAAUCACUGGGCGUAAAGGGCGCGUAGGCGGACAUUUAAGUCAGGGGUGAAAUCCCGGGGCUCAACCCCGGAACUGCCCUUGAUACUGGGUGUCUUGAGACCGGAAGAGGUAAGUGGAACUGCGAGUGUAGAGGUGAAAUUCGUAGAUAUUCGCAAGAACACCAGUGGCGAAGGCGGCUUACUGGUCCGGAUCUGACGCUGAGGCGCGAAAGCGUGGGGAGCAAACAGG